GUAAACAAAGAAGUAAUGAUCUAUAUGUGGACGGGAAAAGGAAAAUAUGAGAAAGGAGACAACACACUUUGCUUGCUACGAACCAACAGCCUUAUUGCUGUGUGCAGCUACAAUAUAUGUAGAAGAUUAUCAUCCAGAAGAAAAUAUCAUCAGAAAGAUGACACAACUGAUUGAAAUUACACACAAAGCAAUGAUGUAACUGCCCGAGAACAAGGUUCACUUCAACUUGAUCAUCUCUGAUAUUUCAUCAUUGACUGGAUGUGGCAGGAUGUCAAGCAGCCACCAAUACGUUCAUUUAUGUCGACUUGUACAGCAUGAUAUCAUACCACGAGUGAAGGACAGACACACAAACCUCAGCCUCUUCUUACAAGAUGAACACUCAUUAGAAUGGAAGUUAUUGUACAA